GACGAACGCUGGCGGCGUGCCUAAUACAUGCAAGUAGAACGCUGAAGGAGGAGCUUGCUUCUCUGGAUGAGUUGCGAACGGGUGAGUAACGCGUAGGUAACCUGCCUGGUAGCGGGGGAUAACUAUUGGAAACGAUAGCUAAUACCGCAUAAGAGUAGAUGUUGCAUGACAUUUGCUUAAAAGGUGCAAUUGCAUCACUACCAGAUGGACCUGCGUUGUAUUAGCUAGUUGGUGGGGUAACGGCUCACCAAGGCGACGAUACAUAGCCGACCUGAGAGGGGGAUCCGCCAACCUGGGACUGAGACACGGCCCAGACUCCUACGGGAGGCAGCAGUAGGGAAUCUUCGGCAAUGGACGGAAGUCUGACCGAGCAACGCCGCGGGAGUGAAGAAGGUUGUCGGAUCGUAAAGCUCUGUUGUAAGAGAAGAACGAGUGUGAGAGUGGAAAGUUCACACUGUGACGGUAUCUUACCAGAAAGGGACGGCUAACUACGUG
rnacentral:rRNA from 1 species